rnacentral:lncRNA from 1 species
UUUGAAAAGUCGUUACAAACUUCCAUCUCUGAGGGCAGAUACAAAUACAGAUUUCUAACUGCCCAAACGGAAUAACCAGAUCAGAUACAGAAAUGACAAUUUGCUCAGGCCCACUUCUGGCAAACCAAACCAUGAUAUGAUCUAUGACCACGGCUGUACCAACCAUAGUAGUUCUAACAGAUAAUCUAUAGUCAUGACAUUACUUAGCCAAGGGUGAACCCUAUAGAUAGUGCGAUACCACUCUCGCUA